CGCCUCUUGUUUAGUUAAAACUUGUCUAACGUAACUAUUCUUUGGUGACUGUAUGAAGGUAUAGGCUACAGUGUUGUCAACAAAAACGCUAGACGCCAAAAUGUUUCUGUGUUACAGUGCCAAUCAUCGUAAUUUCUGGAGAAUUUCGUGUUCCUUACACGGAAUAAUUUAAGGGAUUCACUCUCGUAUUUAAAUGCGGUUGACUUUCUCAAACUUUACAGGGUGUACGUGUCCACAUUAAUACUGACAAUUAUAAACGAAAUCAAAGGCGGAUGCUGUGUAUGAAAAUGUGCCCAAAAAACGAUGAUCAAAUACUGUUUCUACUGGAAUUGAGUUCAUAGGACAAUAAGUCACACAUUUGUGGUUUUGUUCACAUAUUCUCCACCCGGAUGUCUCAGUUUUAUUUUGCCUCUUUGCAUUAAAUCCUUUUAUUUCAGCGAUUUUUUUUUUCUUUUCUUGUCUUGUCUUUUUUUUUUUUUUUUUUUUUUGCACAUAUAGCCUCUCAGUUGUUAUUGUGGUGUGUGAAAUAAUAAGUUAGUGGCUCACAAUAGCGCAUCAUUCAGAAACUCAGCUAAAUAUUCUCUAUCAUAUGGAAAUGUAGAUUCUUUAUUAAAAAUGUAUUCCAUCCUUCAA